rnacentral:rRNA from 1 species
AGCAAUAGGGUGAGUGGCGGAAGGGUGCGUAACACGUAGGUGACCUACCUCAUCGGAGGGAAUAACUGAUCGAAAGAUUAGCUAAUACCCAAAAGGACUGACAAAUCAUAUUGUCAAACAGAGUCGAGCAAUCGGCCUGAUGAGAGGGACCUGCGGCCCAUCAGCUAGUUGGUAAGGUAACGGCUUACCAAGGCAACGACGGGUAGGGGCUCUGAGAGGAUAUCCCCCCACACUGGAACUGAAAUACGGUCCAGACACCUACGGGUGGCAGCAGUGAGGAAUAUUGGUCAAUCUGCGAAAGCGGGAACCAGCAACGCCGCGUGAAGGAAGAAGGCCCUCGGGUUGUAAACUUCUUUAGGGGAAGACGAGAAAGGACGGUAUUCCCAAAAUAAGCAACGGCAAACUACGUGCCAGCAGCCGCGGUAAUACGUAGGUUGCGAGCGUUAUCCGGAUUUACUGGGCGUAAAGCGCUUGUAGCGGUUAUGUAAGUUGGGCGUGAAACCUCUGGGCUUAACCCAGAGCAUGCGCACAAUACUGCAUGACUAGAGGGUGUCAGAGGAAAACGGGAUUCCCGGUGUAGUAGUGAAAUGCGUAGAUAUCGGGAGGAACAUCAGUGGCGAAGGCGGUUUUCUGGGACAUUACUGACGCUGAGAAGCGACAGCUAGGGGAGCAAACAGGAUUAGAAACCCUGGUAGUCCUAGCCGUAAACGAUGGAUGCUAGGCGUUGGCAGACUCAAUCCUGUCCGCGCCGAAGUUAACACGAUAAGCAUCCCGCCUGGGAAGUACGACCGCAAGGUUAAAACUCAAAGGAAUUGACGGGGACCCGCACAAGCAGCGGAGCGUGUGGUUUAAUUCGAUCUACACGAAGAACCUUACCCGGACUUGACAUACUAGUGGUAGAGAGAAGAAAUUUAAUCGACCCGCAAGGGAGCUAAUACAGGUGUUGCAUGGCUGUCGUCAGCUCGUGUCGUGAGAUGUUCGUUUAAGUACGCUAACGAGCGCAACCCUCAUUGCCAGUUACAAGUGUCUGGCGAGACUGCCGGCCGCAAGCCGGAGGAAGGCGGGGAUGACGUCAAGUCAGCAUGGCCUUUAUGUCCGGGGCUACACACACGCUACAAUGGGAUGGAACAAUGGGAAGCCAAGCCGCGAGGCGGAGCAAAUCCUAGUAAAACAUUCCUCAGUUCAGAUUGCAGGCUGCAACUCGCCUGCAUGAAGUUGGAGUUGCUAGUAAACGCGCGUCAGCUAUAGUGCGUUGAAUACGUUCCCGGGUCUUGUACACACCGCCCGUCACACUAUGGGAGCUGGUAACACCUAAAGACAUUGGCUUAACCGCAAGGAGAGUAAUGUUUAGGGUGGGGUCGGUGACUGGAGUGAAGUCGUAACAAGGUA